rnacentral:rRNA from 1 species
AGUGAACGCUGGCGGCAGGCCUAACACAUGCAAGUCGAGCGGCAGCGGGUCCUUCGGGAUGCCGGCGAGCGGCGGACGGGUGAGGAAUGCGUCGGAAUCUGCCUUUUUGUGGGGGAUAACGUAGGGAAACUUACGCUAAUACCGCAUACGACCUACGGGUGAAAGUGGGGGACCGCAAGGCCUCACGCAGAAAGAUGAGCCGACGCCGGAUUAGCUAGUUGGCGGGGUAAAGGCCCACCAAGGCGACGAUCCGUAGCUGGUCUGAGAGGAUGAUCAGCCACACUGGAACUGAGACACGGUCCAGACUCCUGCGGGAGGCAGCAGUGGGGAAUAUUGGACAAUGGGCGCAAGCCUGAUCCAGCAUGCCGCGUGUGUGAAGAAGGCCUUCGGGUUGUAAAGCACUUUUGUCCGGAAAGAAAUCCAAUCGAUUAAUACUCGGUUGGGAUGACGGUACCGGAAGAAUAAGCACCGGCUAACUUCGUGCCAGCAGCCGCAGUAAGAC